rnacentral:tRNA from 1 species
GCUCCCAUGGCGUAGUGGUCACUGCGCUCGCCUUGCACGUGGGAGACCCGGGUUCGAUUCCCGGUGGGGUCA